UACGUAGGGCGCAAGCGUUAUCCGGAAUUAUUGGGCGUAAAGAGCUCGUAGGCGGUUUGUCGCGUCUGCCGCGAAAGUCCGGGGCUCAACUCCGGAUCUGCGGUGGGUACGGGCAGACUAGAGUGAUGUAGGGGAGACUGGAAUUCCUGGUGUAGCGGUGAAGUGCGCAGAUAUCAGGAGGAACACCGAUGGCGAAGGCAGGUCUCUGGGCAUUAACUGACGCUGAGGAGCGAAAGCAUGGGGAGCGAACAGG
rnacentral:rRNA from 1 species